GUAUCCAAAGCCCUUGAACGACAACGAGUGUCAAUUAAGUGCGAUUAAAUAACUGAUACGAAAGGAAAAAUGUCAAGAUCCCUCAGCGGUUACCAAAAACAAGGUUAUAUUCCGAUUGAGCAUCCACGUAACCGGAGUAGAACGCAUCGUCAAAAGUCCUCGUUCGAUCACCGAGUGAAAUUUUUUCGUUGCUCGCGAUUGUAAACUGGUCACAUCGAGUGGGAGGCUCGACACCCGAACGGAGAUAAAUUAAGGGACAAUGCAGAGUACUGAAUCAUUCUAGACUGUUGAGUGACUAACAGGAAAGCGUCUCUGAAUUCGCGGAUGCGACGUGACACGUUUUAUCUCCGCGUGUGCAACCAACAGACUCCGAACGACUGUGCGAAAGAGUUUUUCUCUCCGAUUUCAUUUACCUUGGCCCUGGAAGCGGAGGGGAGGGCCAGACUCGACUCCGUACGAACAGGCCGAGAAAGCAGAAGUACUACAUGCUUUUGGCGUCUCUCGGUCUUGACCCGGUGCACGCGACUUAUCGAUUGGCCCGCGGUAUUCCAUACACAUACAUGUAUGUACGAGGAGUGCGGCAACAACUGUUAGUGCCAGCUAUGUCUAUGCAUCUGUAAUGUUUAGCGUUUAAUAAAUCGAACAAUGGUAAGACGCUUCGCGGAGCUUCGAGUAUAGCGUCAAUCAUAUUUUUCUGGGUCAAAACGCCUCGGAGCCAUCUCAGGAGGGACGAUACUUGUUUUAAUCUGAAGCCUGAUUAUGAUCUCCGGAUUUACAGGAUGACUGAUACGACGCUGAAGUUUGCAACGUUAGAGCUGAACGAAGCGAACGAAAAAAAUAUUUGCAAUUGACCA